rnacentral:rRNA from 1 species
GAUGAACGCCGGCGGCGUGCCUAAUACAUGCAAGUCGAGCGAAUGGAUUAAGAGCUUGCUCUUAUGAAGUUAGCGGCGGACGGGUGAGUAACACGUGGGUAACCUGCCCAUAAGACUGGGAUAACUCCGGGAAACCGGGGCUAAUACCGGAUAACAUUUUGAACCGCAUGGUUCGAAAUUGAAAGGCGGCUUCGGCUGUCACUUAUGGAUGGACCCGCGUCGCAUUAGCUAGUUGGUGAGGUAACGGCUCACCAAGGCAACGAUGCGUAGCCGACCUGAGAGGGUGAUCGGCCACACUGAGACUGAGACACGGACCCGACUCCUACGGGAGGUAGCAGUAGGGAAUCUUCCGCAAUGGACGAAAGUCUGACGGAGCAACGCCGCGUGAGUGAUGAAGGCUUUCGGGUCGUAAAACUCUGUUGUUAGGGAAGAACAAGUGCUAGUUGAAUAAGCUGGCACCUUGACGGUACCUAACCAGAAAGCCACGGCUAACUACGUGCCAGCCGCCGCAGUAA